GUGAGGAAUUUUCCGCAAUGGGCGAAAGCCUGACGGAGCAAUGCCGCGUGAAGGAUGAAGGCCUAUGGGUUGUAAACUUCUUUUCUCAGAAAAGAAUUAUGACGGUAUCUGAGGAAUAAGCAUCGGCUAACUCUGUGCCAGCAGCCGCGGUAAGACAGAGGAUGCAAGCGUUAUCCGGAAUGAUUGGGCGUAAAGCGUCUGUAGGUUGUUUAAAAAGUAUUCUGUCAAAGAUUAGGGCUUAACCCUAGAUAGGCAGAAUAAACUUUUAAGCUAGGGGUUGGUAGAGGCAGAGGGAAUUCCCGGUGGAGCGGUGAAAUGCGUAGAUAUCGGGAGGAACACCAAAGGCGAAGGCACUCUGCUGGGCCAAUACUAACACUGAGAGACGAAAGCGAGGGGAGCAAAUGGGAUUAGAUACCCGAGUAGUCC
rnacentral:rRNA from 1 species